ACCUCGUAUAGUACAUACCUAAACUUUAAUUUGUUGCACUUUCCUGUUGGAACUUUAAUCUAAAGAUUGCAGUGUAGACUUCUUACCCAUCCAUGACAGGUGUGAGAUUCAAAGACUUGAUGUCUCUGCAGCGGCACGUGAAGGCUUUGCUGGGUUGCAAAAAGGAGGAGCAGGACUGGAUGCUGUCGACUCAGCCAUACGGGCCCUGGAAGAUAACGCAGUGUUUGAUGCAGGUCGUGGAGCAACUCUGCAGAAGCAGAAAGGAUGGACGACAUUAUCAUGGAUGGAAUGACACUAUCUUGUGGCGCUGUGACAUCAGUGAAAAACAUUGCUAAUCCUGGUUCGCUGCCAUGGGCAGUGAUGGAGAAGGUGCCAACAUCCAUAAAUUGAUCUUUAGAAUGAAGGAUGAAUUCUAAUGGCAUCACAUCAGGAAUGUGCAACCUCCAGGAGGAAACCUGAAGAGUUUUUUGCGCCAUCUGCUGGUAGAUGCCAAGUACGUUAUGCCUUCAUUGCGUCAGAAAAAUCAUAAUUCAACCCCAUGUAAAUUUACAAAUAAAAUGACACUUAAUUCACAUAUAUGCUAAUAAAAAUGAAACAAAUCGAUUUGCACGUUAUGUUCUAGCCUAUUUUGAAAAUUACUAAACAUAAUGCAUUUACAGUACAGUACAGUAUUUAUUUUAUUUAAAUUUCCACUCAGCUAUUUUUGCUAUUUGUUGUUCUUUGUUGUCAUGGAGACAGCGGCGCAAACCUGUUCCCUAAGAUAUUGUUGAUAAAUU